GACUCGUCACACUAUCAUUAACUGAAUCCAUAGGUUAAUGAGGCGAACCGGGGGAACUGAAACAUCUAAGUACCCCGAGGAAAAGAAAUCAACCGAGAUUCCCCCAGUAGCGGCGAGCGAACGGGGAGGAGCCCAGAGCCUGAAUCAGCAUGUGUGUUAGUGGAAGCGUCUGGAAAGGCGCGCGAUACAGGGUGACAGCCCCGUACACAAAAGCGCAUGUGCUGUGAGCUCGAUGAGUAGGGCGGGACACGUGGUAUCCUGUCUGAAUAUGGGGGGACCAUCCUCCAAGGCUAAAUACUCCUGACUGACCGAUAGUGAACCAGUACCGUGAGGGAAAGGCGAAAAGAACCCCGGCGAGGGGAGUGAAAAAGAACCUGAAACCGUGUACGUACAAGCAGUGGGAGCACCCUUUGGGGUGUGACUGCGUACCUUUUGUAUAAUGGGUCAGCGACUUAUAUUCUGUAGCAAGGUUAACCGAAUAGGGGAGCCGGAGGGAAACCGAGUCUUAAUUGGGCGUUAAGUUGCAGGGUAUAGACCCGAAACCCGGUGAUCUAGCCAUGGGCAGGUUGAAGGUUGGGUAACACUAACUGGAGGACCGAACCGACUAAUGUUGAAAAAUUAGCGGAUGACCUGUGGCUGGGGGUGAAAGGCCAAUCAAACCGGGAGAUAGCUGGUUCUCCCCGAAAGCUAUUUAGGUAGCGCCUCGUGAAUUCAUCUCCGGGGGUAGAGCACUGUUUCGGCUAGGGGGCCAUCCCGGCUUACCAACCCGAUGCAAACUGCGAAUACCGGAGAAUGUUAUCACGGGAGACACACGGCGGGUGCUAACGUCCGUCGUGAAGAGGGAAACAACCCAGACCGCCAGCUAAGGUCCCAAAGUCAUGGUUAAGUGGGAAACGAUGUGGGAAGGCCCAGACAGCCAGGAUGUUGGCUUAGAAGCAGCCAUCAUUUAAAGAAAGCGUAAUAGCUCACUGGUCGAGUCGGCCUGCGCGGAAGAUGUAACGGGGCUAAACCAUGCACCGAAGCUG
rnacentral:rRNA from 1 species